rnacentral:lncRNA from 1 species
GUGUCCCAGUAUGGGAUGAGACCAUCGUUCUGUUUAACAAGAGGACAGUUGUGCAUCAUCUAUGACUGGCGGCUCUGCAGGAAUUCAACAGGUUCAUGAAAUGGAACCCUCUGUUGCAUUAGACCCAAUUCUGAGAUUAUGACUGAACCCUAAAGCACUUCAUUUUUUAUGAUAUUUUAUUUAUGUAUUUUGAAUGUUGUGCAAAGACCCCAGAUGGUCACUGUUCAACUUGUAUUCCAGUGGCCAUGAAGGGCAGGUGAAGGUAGUUUUUACUUGACUUAAAAUGUCCUUUGUAUGCAUUUUCUUUCUCAAGGUCCUCUUCAGCUCCUGGAGCGUUAAUCUGCCAGGAGCCAAUGGAAGCGUUCUACUCAAGUGCAUGCAUUAGCUCUGUCUUUUGUCAAAAGUAGGAAAAAUGCUUAAAGGACCACUAUAGUGCCAGGAAAACACUUGUUUUCCUGGCACUAUAGUGCCCUAAGGGUGCCCCCACCCUCAGGGUCCACCUCCCGCCCGGCUCUGGAAGGGGGAAAGGGGUAAAAACUUACCUUUUUCCAGCGCUGGGCGGGGAGCUCUGCCUCCGAUCCUCCUCCUCUCCGUUGGCUGAAUGCGCACGCGCAGCUCUUGCUCAAUGCUUUCCUAUGGAUGCUUGCGUGCUCUCACUGUGAUUUUCACAGUGAGAAGCACGCAAGCGCCUCUAGCGGCUGUCAACGAGACAGCCACUAGAGGUUUUGGGGGAAGGCUUAACCCAUUCAUAAACAUAGCAGUUUCUCUGAAACUGCUAUGUUUAUAUAAAAAAAAAAAAUGGUUAACCCUAGCUGGACCUGGCACCCAGACCACUUCAUUAAGCUGAAGUGGUCUGGAUGCCUAGAGUGGUCCUUUAAGAUAAAGUUGUUCCGGUUUGCUCUUAAUUUGUGGGCGUUGCAGGGAUGCUUUAAGUCAAAAUUGAAAGCACUCUAUCAUUCUUUCUAUUCUACGCCUCUAAUCCUCAACAUGGAAAUUGUAGUUUGUAAUAAUAGAAAAUAUGUAGAUUGUAAUAUGCUUUAUGGUUACGUUCUGGUGAGUUUUAACUUAAUUUUUUUUAUUUUUACAGCUCCUUAGGGAAGGCGCAAACCACCUUGAGGAGUCCCUGCAUAAGAGACUAUUGGAUACAGAAGGCUGUACUAAAGGAAGUUCUCAUCACCGCAUCAUCCAAGCCCUAGUCAGGAGUAUAUGAGGCCUCUUAAGAGUAAAGAGCGACUAACAAUAUCUGAUAAUAGGCCACGUGCAAUUAUUAUGUAUGUAAUGUACAACAUACUUUUUCACUUUUUGUUACAUUAGAGAUUAACAAAUAUUGUUAGACUUUGUUUACUGCUGACUUAAAAAAAAAAUUAAAACUCCA